rnacentral:lncRNA from 1 species
AAAUUUCCGUUAUGAGGCUAUUGUUUUCCCUCGUGUGUUCAUACCCAACAGCGUAUUUAGUAUAUACUUAAUACAGCUUUGUUCAUCAUAAUUAAAACGUGCGUUGCUGACAACAAUCUAAGUUAAUUAAUAUAAUUUUUGCUUAUUUAAAUAAAGCUUGUGAUUGUGUGCUUUUCUAUCUCUUCUACGAUCUACUUUUGAGCACAAUCAUGCCUAAUAAGUGCUCCUCCGGAUAUGAUGGA